rnacentral:lncRNA from 1 species
CAAGCCUCCUCUCUCUACCGAUAAGUCCCCACCUCGACCCGUCAACGCUUGGCGAAGCCCUGUCGGUGUUCUGCUGCCAUUACGACCACCACACCGUUGUGUUGGUUCAUAUCUCAUCUACCUAUUAUCCCUCUCUUGUUGGAUAAAGAAGGAGAAUACAUCAUCGAGAUGUACGUAUGCUAAACACGGACGUGUCGCACCUGCGGUGCUUGGAUCGGAUUAAAUCGCGACGCAUGUAUGACUACGCCAACUACGAUCUCUAGAUCGUUGACGCUUUUGGUCUACAAGGGUAUGAAGACACCCCUCUCAUUGAUAGCAUCUACGUAGAAUAGAUCUUGGGUGUUCCAUAGUAUUGUUUUUUGUUACCCAUGCAACGUUCUCCAACAUUAACAAUGCAGCAACGCACGCCCAACCCUUCUAGUGUAUAUCAUUUGUGGCUUUGGCUCCAAUUCAUAAGGAUGAUUAGGAGGGCCCUGGUACCUUUGGCCUACCAGGGGAUCGAAUGUCACGUUUGAGACCUGGUUUCUCAUAAAGGUGGAAUAAUCGUUCAGUAUGAGACGACGUUCCCAUCGAGAGCAAGACAUCUAUGAUGACUUAGUCAAUCUGAUGACCCAUCGGCUUAGUCUUUUGAAAAUGCUCAUUGUGGUAGGUGUGCAUGUGUGCAUUUAUAGGGAUGAGUGUAUGCAUGCCUGGCCAAAUGGGCCGACACGACAUGACCCGUCGUAAAUGGGCCCGGCCCGGCCCGCCGAGGCACGAAAAUUAGACGGCCCGUGUCAUGUCGGCCCACGUGUUCACCCUCCAGGCCCACACACGGCACGAGAGCUAUGUGGGCCGGCUCGUUGGC